CGGUUAUACAAAGUAUACAAAUAAAUUUUAUUGUUUUGUAGUUAAAUUAAUUAUUUUAAAUAAAAGAUUUACAAAUAAGGUGAAAUUUUUUAUGAAUUUAAAUUUAUUAAUAAAUUGAUUGAAGCUAUUAGAUUUAAUAAAUAAACUAGGAUUAGAUACCCUAUUAUUUUGAAAGUAAAUUAUAAAAUUAGGUAGUAAUAGUUAAAUUCUUGAAACUUAAAAAAUUUGGCGGUAUUUUAAUCUAUUUAGAGGAAUCUGUUCCAUAAUCGAUAGCCCACGAUAAAUUUUACAUAAUUUUGUUUAGUUUGUAUAUCGUCGUUAUAAGAAAAUUUUAUAAGAAAUUUAAUUUUCUAAAAUUUUUAUUUAAAGUUAUUUCAGAUCAAGGUGCAGCUUAUAAUUAUGAGGAAAUGGAUUACAAUAAAUUUAUUUAUUACGGAUAGCAAAAUGAAUAUUUUGUUUAAAGGUGGAUUUAAUAGUAAAUUGAAUUAUAUAGUUUAAUUGAUUUUAGUUCUAAAAUAUGCACAUAUCGCCCGUCGCUCUCUUUAUUUAAAAAGAGAUAAGUCGUAACAAAGUAGAUGUACUGGAAAGUGUAUCUAGAAUGAUUCA
rnacentral:rRNA from 1 species